rnacentral:rRNA from 1 species
ACUCCUACGGAGGCAGCAGUGGGAAUCUUGGACAAUGGGCGCAAGCCUGAUCCAGCCAUGCCGCGUGAGUGAUGAAGGCCUUAGGGUCGUAAAGCUCUUUCGCCAGGGAUGAUAAUGACAGUACCUGGUAAAGAAACCCGCCGUAUACUCCGUGCCAGCAGCCGCGGUAAUACGGAGGGGGUUAGCGUUGUUCGGAAUUACUGGGCGUAAAGCGCACGUAGGCGGAUU